GACUUUUUGUAGUUUAUAAGCAUGAUUGGGUGUUCCUGUGUGUGUGUGAGAUUUGCCACCCACGAACCUUGUUAUGAAGUCGGCGCAUUGCGUGUCCAACA